rnacentral:rRNA from 1 species
GAUGAACGCUGGCGGUGUGCCUAAUACAUGCAAGUCGAACGAGGUCUUCGGACCUAGUGGCGAACGGGUGAGUAACACGUUGGUACCUACCCUCUAGUGGGGAAUAGCUGGCCGAAAGGUCGGCUAAUACCGCAUAAUACCGCAAGGUUAAAGAAGUAAUACGCUAGAGGAGGGGCCUGCGUCCCAUUAGCUUGUUGGUAGUGUAAUGGACUACCAAGGCAACGAUGGGUAGCUGGAUCGAGAGGUUGACCAGCCACACUGGGACUGAGAUACGGCCCAGACUCCUACGGGAGGCAGCAGUAAGGAAUCUUCCACAAUGGGCGAAAGCCUGAUGGAGCAACACCGCGUGCAGGAUGACGGCCUUCGGGUUGUAAACUGCUUUUAUAUGGGAAGAUUAUGACGGUACCAUAUGAAUAAGCACCGGCUAACUACGUGCCAGCCGCCGCGGUAA